UUAUCUUCAGAAAACUGAAAGCUAUUCAGGGUCAGAUAUACAACUUGUAUGUAAGGAGGCUGCCAUGAGACCUGUCAGAAAAAUAUUUGAUGCACUGGAAAAUCACUCAGAAGGUAAAGAUCUUCACAUUCGGCUGGAUACUAUAGUCACAACAGAUGUACUGAAAGCAUUAGAGCGUACUAAACCAUCUGGUAGAGCUAUGAAGGACAAAUAUGCUGCCUGGCAGAGAGAAUACGAGAGUGUCUGAUAUCUAGUACAACUAGAAACCCGUACUAAUAUAUAUCUGUGUAGGUGUUUAUCCCGAUAGUGCACAGCACAUUGUGUCAAGUGUUAACUGCUGUAUAAAAAACAUUGAUAUCCGUCCACAUUGAUAUCCAUCCACAU